UAUAUGAAGGAGUGAAUGUAUAUGUGCAUGAACUAAUGAAUUCUUUGGGCCCCAAAGCUGUUACCAUCUCAUUUCAGGUACACCGAAACAGGAGGGCUAGGAAAGGUCCAGGGAUCAAAUGCUGCAUAGAAUGGACCCUGAAGCACAAGACAUGGGCAAGGACACAGUGGACAGAGACAGGAGAAACAUUGAGUGGACAGCAGGGAGAUGGUUAAGGAAAUGGAAAUGAUAUAGAGCAACUCCAGAGAUAUGUUCUGGAAGUCUUAAACCUUGCACAAGCUGCAGCUGCACACACAUACACAUAUUCCAGCUUGAAGAAUCUUGUCUCUCAACAUUUUCUCUGUCCCUGCAUCUUAUAGAACACUUUUCUUGGUGGAGAUGCUUCAGUGUUGAGAGUGAUUCAGAGGUCUGAAUCACAAGUAUUACACAGCACAGCAGUGUCUGUGCUGCGUGAUACUUGUAGGCUGGUCUCAUUCUUGGUCAGUACAAUAAGGCCGCAUCGAUCAUAGCAACUGGGAGGAAGCAGUGUGGUACCCUGCAGUGGUUCUGCUGACUCUGUGAGCCUGAGUACCUUGCCCACCCUGGGCCCCAGUUCUCAGAUACAAAGUGAAGGCUCACUUGGGCUCCUGUGCAACUUCAAAACGCAAACUUAACUGAAAUUGUGCAUCUGGGGUUCCCUCCUCCCUGAGGAGCAAGAGGCCUGCUUUUUAGAAAAUCCCGAACCUAAGACUACAUCCCAAUUUGUCAAUUCCACAUAAAUGACAUAUCAUUUCUAAUAAGUCAUCUAAUUUUGUACCAUCUAGUAUUUAUACUGAUAAUGGACAGAAAUCACAGGAGCGAAUCAUGCCGCUAUGACACUCUGAUGAAGUGGCUCAGACUUACCCUCUCACUCUUGGUUGGAUUCGAGGGCAUAGGGAUGAGGGAGAGAAAAUACCAUUGGCGUUCAAAUUUAAAAAAUGAAAAAGAAGCAAAAUGGAGCCUAGACUUUAAUCCUUUCAUAAAUCUUCCUCGCCCCCAAUUGUUCAGCCAAAUUCCUGGGAUUAGCAUUCUGUCUCCCAUGAACCUUUUGGUUGGAUCUUUUGUUAAUCUUCUCCCCCUUUGGGGCUACCCUCCACAGUUCUUAAAAACAACUGCAAAUUUUGUUCAGAUCCAAUUCAGGGUCCCACAUUGCAUUUAGUUUUAUGUCUUCUCCAGUCUGUGCUUCGUUAUUUCCUUGUCUUUCACAAUCUUGACACUUUUGAAGAGAACUGAUGAGUUACUUCGUAGACAGUUCCUCAGUUUGGGUCUGCCUACUGUUUUCUCAUUGAUUCACCUGGGGUUUUGAAGUUUUCUGAAGGAAUACUCCAGAAGCGAUGGCCCUUCUCCGUGUACCCUGUGAGGGUAUGUGAUGUCAAUAUGUCUUAUUCCUGGAGAUGUGAACUUUGAUCAGUUGAGUCAGGUGGUGUCUGUCUGGUUUUCUCACAGUAAAGUGAAGAAUACCAUGUGCCUUAAUAUAUAUUUGAGGGCAGAUGUUGUGCAAUUCCCUUGGCAUUAUUUGUGACCAGAUUUUCCUUAUGUGUGUUGGGGUGCAGGUGAGGGUGAGCAGAGUGAUUUGUUCUUACUGCAUCCCAGUUACAGAUCAGAGCUUGCUAUGAUUGUGCUGCACAAAAUAAGAGCUGGAACAAACCUUUGCCACUAUAAGAAAUAUCUGGGGCUACUCUUGGUAGACACAAAGGAAUAUACGAUCAAUGGCAUAUUUUAUUUUGUGUGGGGGGAGUGUGCAUUGUUAAUUGAAUGGAGUUCUUUUAAUCCAUGAGUUUAUUCCUUAUUUAUUUAAAAAGGGCAACAUUUUUGAGUGUCUACAGUGUGCCAGACACUGUACUAGGCUCUACAUCUCUUUGCUCAGUUCAUAUUCAUAUUACCUUAUAAUAGAUAUCAUUAGCCAUUUUACAGGUAAGGAUACUCAAGAGUCAAGGAGGCUCCAAGGAAGUAAGUUGUUCAGAGGCAAGUGGCAGAGCUGGAAUGUGAAGCCGGGGCUGUGUAACUCCAUGGCACUAAGCCUACUCCCCUACUACAUGCCAGGCCCUGCGAUCAGUGCUAAAGAUUCAGACGUGUGAAGCAGGUGUUCAAGAAGCUCACACCCGACAGUACGGGGGGCGUUUGGAAGAGGCACAGAGGGCCUGGGAAGAACCUUUAAUCAUGAGUGUCAUUCUUUUUUACUUGGUGAUAAUUCCUUGUGCCUCAAGAAUCCCCAAGCUGGCUUUUCUCAGGCCUUUAAGGAGUUAGGUUGGAUGUGCCAGGUUGCCUUCAGCUACCAGUAGCUGAUAGAGAUGGGAAUUAGUAUCGAUGGAAUGCCUGUUCUGCCAUCAUUCAUCUCGGCCUCCCUGUGAUUGGGCAUGUUAUUUCCACCAAGCUUAUGAGGAAACCAAGGCUCAAAGGGGCUGAAGAACAUGCCCAAAGUCACCAGCUAGUAAAUGGCUAACCAGGAGUUUGAUCCCAGAUCUGACUGAUUCCAGAGCCUGUGCCCAGUCUCGGUGCCCCUUGAUAGGCUAGGGGUACAGAUUCUAGCAUCGUCCCUGCCGAUGUGACUGUGCACCUGUUAUCUUCUCACCUGUAGAAAGGAUGAUCAUGUUUAUGUAGUGCCUGAUGGACGUUGACAGCAGUUCAUCUGUACCAAGUAUUUUUUGCUUAAACCAAAGGAUCUUUGUGCAGCUUUUUUUUUUUAAAACACCACAGUAAAUCCAUAGCAACAGAAGGAAAACAGAAAGUGAUGAUUCUGAAUCAUUUGUGACAUAUAAAAUGCUACUGUAUCAACAAGCUUGCUUCCCUAAGAGAUACGACAUAGGGCAAGUCAGGUCUCUUUUUCCCUGGCUUUUGAUGAGAGAUUUAGUUCCUCAUAGAGUCAAUGCUUAAAUAGCAUUUGAUGUUGCUGCUAAUAGUUUAUGGCCUUCCUGUCUCAGGGUAUUUGCUAAACUGUGUAGUGAAGGUGGGGACAGAAAGGGUCCUUCAUUCUCCUGCUUCUUUCAUUUGACAGCUUUCUGGAUUCUCUUGGAUCAUUGUCCUUUCUAUGCUGAUUUUGAAAAGGUGAAAGCAAGUGGGAGAGCUGCACUUGCGUGGUUGAAUGAGAAAAGGAACUGAUUAUUAGCAGGCCCAGGGAUUAGGAUGGGGAGAUCAGCUGGCAAUCUGGUUUAUCAAAGUUACUCCGUUUGGUUUCUACCAAAUAUGAUCGAAGUUCACGGAUUAUCUUGAUUCUGCUGCUAUUACUCUGGUAGAGGCAGUGAGUGAGAAUGACCAAAGGUACGAGUAGCAGUAGAUGUAAAGAAAAAUGCAGUAUAAACAAUUUGAAGUUGUUCCCAUCUUAGUUUGGAUUCAAGUGUAAGCAAUUUAUCUGGGAAAUGCAGGAACCCUUGGUAGGGAAUUGGGAAGAAUGAGCUGGGUAGGGAGAAAGGCCAAUAAAGGACGUGCUGCCAAGCCAGGCACUUCUGCAGGGAAUGGGCUCAGCCCCACCAGGGAGCCCUGGGAAAUGGCGGCGUACAGCACAUAUGUCAGAAUUACCCUGCGUUUCCCCACAUCCACCCAGGGAAGGGAGCUGGGGUAUUUGUACACCAACUGGAGUGUUUAUCUAUCAACUUCUGAGUGUCAGUGAUUGAUGGCUGCUCCCACGAGGGGUGCUGGGCUUGGGAGAAAGCCCUCAGGCAAAGAGACGCAGAUGCUGCAGUUGAAAGUCAACCAGCCUGCACUCAUGCGUUAAUAACUCCAGUGAAGCCCAAAAAAGCAACAAAAGCAGCUGAACGGCAACAACCAUAAUCAAAAAACCCACCCCAGUCCCUCUGUAGAAGGAUAAUGUCAUUUCACUCGGGACCGCUCUUGGAAACUGAAAUAUGAAUCUAUGUUGAUGAGAGAAUAAAGGAAUUGAAAGAGGCAUAAAUCUUAUCUUCUCGCAACCCUAGAAGAUCAGCUUCUCGUGAAGAAGGGGAUUAUACUUCUGUAAUUAACUGCUUUGCAGCUCCUGGUGAUGGCUCAGAGCUGAAUAAUAGCACCCGGCCCGGUUGGAUAAAAGGCUGGCGGGCAGGCAGUGCAGUGGCUCGUCACGAACAAUGGUCUCAGGGCUUGACAUCCUUCCCCCGUGCCCAGCUCUCAGAGAGUCAAGCCAGGAGAUAUUUGUCCCCUGCCUAUCAGCAUUCACAGCAGAGAAUAAAAUUCCAGAACAAAUAUCUCAAAGAGACCUGUAGCUGCCAUGAGGUACCAUGAAGGGCCACGCCAGAUUCUACACCCCUCUGUGUUCCAACCAGUGCCCGAAACUGUUAGGUGCUUAUUAAAGGCUUUUUGGAGGUGACUGCUGCCCAGCAGCUGUGAGAUGGCAGGAAAGUGGCCCGAUUUCUCUGAUCUUCAAUGUUACCACCACAAAAUGCAGGGAUUCUUCUAGAAUUUUUUUGAGGAAGAAAUUGGAUCAUGAGUAUAAACAAAUUACUUAUGACAGUGCCUGGCACGUGGCAGGUGAUCAAUAAAUGGUAGCUAUUAUUAUUAUAUUGUGAAAUAAAAAUAGACU